UGCCCUUGGAAACCAAGUGUGGGUGUGGCCUGAAAAAGAAAUAGGGCGACCCAUCCUUUGUUUCUGAGGUCC
rnacentral:pre_miRNA from 1 species